GGGAAUGUGGCUUAGUGGUAGAGUGCUUGCCUAGAAUGCAUAAAGCCCUGGGUUCAAUUCCUCAGUACCA
rnacentral:tRNA from 1 species